rnacentral:rRNA from 1 species
UACAGAGGCCUCGAGCGUUAGGCGGAAUCACUGGGCUUAAAGCGUGUGUAGGCGGACUUCUAAGUACCUUGUGAAAUCCCACGGCUCACCCGUGGAACUGCUCGGUAUACGUGGAUUGUCUUGAGCCUUCUAGGGGCGAGUGGAACAAAUGGUGGAGCGGUGAAAUGCGUAGAUAUCAUUUGGAACGCCAAUGGUGAAAACAACUCGCUGGGGAAGUGCUGACGCGUGGAGACACGGAAAGCCAGGGGAGCGAACGGG